ACAAACAUGGUUUCUUUAAAUAAAUUGCCUUCUUAAUUUGAAAAGCGUUUGAUUUUCUUAAAAAUAAAAGUAGAUUUGAUUUAAAUAAAAGUUAUGUUUUAACUUUUAAAGUGUUUUCAGUUUAUUCAGAGUGUAAAUACAAAAGUUUUUAUUUUCAAUACAAACAUUGUUAAACUGUCAAACCAUCCACCACUUUCUUGUUUGUUUUGCCCUGAGAUGUUUUGCCUUUGUAAUUUUUUGCCGCAAUCAUCUGCUGAGUGCUGACGGGUCGAGAAAAUAAAAAAAAAACGUGCCAACCUCCUUGUGAUACAUAAAUAUCUAAAUUAAAACUUUUCAAAUGGAAUUUACUCGCUGGCGCUUUCCUCGAUUUCUAAUACAGAACCUAUACGAUCCUCCAUCAAUGGAUGCAAAAAACGCCCCUCUGGGUACGCAUCUCAAAGCUGGAUGGUUCCGCAGGAGAUAAUUCAUUUUCGGGCUGGCACGGUUCCCCUACAUUUAUCCACAGUCCAUCGCAUGGAAUCGAAAGAUAACCUGGGGCCUGUAGCAUAAUCGAAAUUUUACUAAUAAUAUUAGUAGAGUAGCUUGUAACUUGUAUUUUUCUGUUGCAUAAUGAAUCUACAAGUAUGAAUUUACAAGACUAAUAUUACAAGUAAACCGCACUAAUAAUAUUAGUGGAAUUUACAAGUAACU